UACGGAGGGUGCAAGCGUUAUCCGGAUUCACUGGGUUUAAAGGGAGCGUAGGCGGCCUUAUAAGUCAGUGGUGAAAUCUCUCGGCUUAACUGAGAAAUUGCCAUUGAUACUGUAGGGCUUGAGUACAGAUGCCGUUGGCGGAAUAUGACAUGUAGUGGUGAAAUACAUAGAGAUGUCAUAGAACACCGAUUGCGAAGGCAGCUAACGAAACUGUAACUGACGCUGAGGCUCGAAAGUGCGGGGAUCAAACAGG
rnacentral:rRNA from 1 species